rnacentral:rRNA from 1 species
UACAGGGGGUGCAAACGUUGCUCGGAAUCAUUGGGCGUAAAGCGCACGUAGGCGGUCUGUUAUGUCGGAUGUGAAAGCCCUUGGCUUAACUGAGGAAGUGCAUCCGAAACUGGCAGGCUAGAGUACUAAAGAGGGUCGCGGAAUUCCCGGUGUAGAGGUGAAAUUCGUAGAUAUCGGGAGGAACACCGGUGGCGAAGGCGGCCAGCUAGACCAGUUCUGACACUGAGGCGCGACAGCGUGGGGAGCAAACAGG